rnacentral:rRNA from 1 species
AUUGAACGCUGGCGGCAGGCCUAACACAUGCAAGUCGAACGAGUGGCGGACGGGUGAGUAAUGUCUGGGAAACUGCCUGAUGGGGGGGGAUAACUACUGAAAACGGUAGCUAAUACCGCAUACCAUCGGAUGUGCCAAGAUGGGAUUAGCUAGUAGGUGGGGUAAAGGCUCACCUAGGCGACGAUCCCUAGCUGGUCUGAGAGGAUGACCAGCCACACUGGAACUGAGACACGGUCCAGACGCCUACGUGAGUCAGCAGUGGGGAAUAUUGCACAAUGGGCGCAAGCCUGAUGCAGCCAUGCCGCGGGUAUGAAGAAGGCCUUCGGGUUGUAAAGUACUUUCAGCGGUGAGGCGUUACCCGCAGAAGAAGCACCGGCUAACUCCGGGCCAGCAGCCGCGGUAAUAC